AUGGCAAAGUUAAUAAGGGCGCACGGUGGAUGCCUUGGCACUAAGAGCCGAUGAAGGACGUGACUAACGACGAUAUUCUAGGGGGAGCAGUAAGUACGCAUUGAUCCCUAGGUCUCCGAAUGGGGAAACCCAGCUGCUACUAGCAGUUAUUCAUGAGUGAAUACAUAGCUCAUGUAAAGGUAACGCAGAGAACUGAAACAUCUAAGUACCUGCAGGAAGAGAAAGUAAAAACGAUUUCGUAAGUAGCGGCGAGCGAACGCGAAGAAGGGCAAACCAAGAAGCUUGCUUCUUGGGGUUGUAGGACUGCAACGUGGACUUAAGCAUUAUAGUCGAAUAACCUGGGAAGGUUAAUCAAAGAGGGUAAUAAUCCCGUAGACGAAAUAGCGCUUAUACCUAGCAGUAUCCUGAGUAGGGCUGGA
rnacentral:rRNA from 1 species